rnacentral:rRNA from 1 species
UACGAAGGGGGCUAGCGUUGUUCGGAAUUACUGGGCGUAAAGCGCACGUAGGCGGUUACUUAAGUCAGGGGUGAAAUCCCGGGGCUCAACCCCGGAACUGCCUUUGAUACUGGGUAUCUCGAGUCCGGAAGAGGUGAGUGGAAUUCCGAGUGUAGAGGUGAAAUUCGUAGAUAUUCGGAGGAACACCAGUGGCGAAGGCGGCUCACUGGUCCGGUACUGACGCUGAGGUGCGAAAGCCAGGGGAGCAAACGGG